GAAGCAACAUUAUCAACCUCUCUGUUACUGCUGGUCCUGUGAUCCUGGUGAGUCCUGCUGUUCCUGCGUUGAUGGAAGAAACUGUGACUCUGAGCUGCAGAAACAAAACUCAUUCCUCCAACUUUAAGGCUGAGUUCUACAAAAAUAGACGCUCCAUCCAUAAAACCUCCACAGGAAACAUGACCAUCCAGAGAGUUUCCAAGUCAGAUGAAGGACAUUACAAGUGUAGCAUCUCGGGAGCUGGGGAAUCACCAGUGAGCUGGCUGAACAUCACAGAGUCUCAAAAUAAAAAUUCCAAACCUAAUCCAGACGAAGAGGCGUGCCAUUUUUCCUCUGCUGCCACACGGAUCAUUUCUACCAUUUUAGUUAGUGCCCUGUUGGUGGUAGUGGGACUGUAUCACAUUUGCAAAGCUUGCUGUAAGAGAGCAUUCGUCCGAGCAGAAGCAGGAACCAGCAGAGCAAUGUCUUCAGCAGGUCCCCAGCAACCCGUAGCAGUGGAUUCCUUCUAUUGUACUAAACAAAAGGUUGCAGAGAGAGAGAGAGCUGAAGAAAUAAUCACAUCUGAAGGAGAGUGAAAACAAAAAUAUAACUCAGUUUUAUCACAUAUUGUUCUAGUAAUUAACCACGUUGUACAUUGUCAUCUCAGUUUUGUCUACAUGUCUAUAAAUUGUUAUAUGUUUUCUUUUUUCAGAUACAGCUUUUUGCCAUUACUGUGUGGUCAUAAGUAUAUAUAAACCUUUGCUUGAAUACAAGCAAAGGUACCAGCGUGAUAUUUAGAAGUUGAAGUUAAAACAAAGUGUUCGAUCAUUCCAUUUUUACACAUGUAUGUAUGAAUAAGUAUGUAUGCUGUUAAAAUAAAAGUGCUGGUGCAGCUUUUAAAAACACCCAUUGUGGUCAA
ensembl:lncRNA